AGGGCGGGACACGUGAAAUCCUGUCUGAACAUGGGGGGGACCACCCUCCAAGCCUAAGUACUCCUCAAUGACCGAUAGUGAACAAGUACCGUGAGGGAAAGGUGAAAAAGCACCCCGACAAGGGGAGUGAAAUAGAACCUGAAAUCGGAAGCCUACAAGCAGUCGGAGCCUCCAAGCGAGGUGACGGCGUACCUUUUGUAUAAUGGGUCAGCGACUUCAUGUGCCGUGCAAGCUUAAGCCGUUAGGUGUAGGCGCAGCGAAAAGCGAGUCUGAAUAGGGCGAAUAAGUACGUCGCAUGACGACCCGAAACCAGGUGAUCUAUCCAUGAGCAGGUUGAAGGUAAGGUAACACUUACUGGAGGACCGAACCCGUGAAUGUUGAAAAAUUCUGGAUGACUUGUGGAUAGGGGUGAAAGGCCAAUCAAACCUGGACAUAGCUGGUUCUCCGCGAAAACUAUUUAGGUAGUGCGUUCGAUGUAUUCCUUGGGGGUAGAGCACUGGAUGGAUGCGGGCUGCGCGAGUGGUACCAAAUU
rnacentral:rRNA from 1 species